GUAUCAUGGCUCAGAUUGAACGCUGGCGGCAGGCCUAACACAUGCAAGUCGAACGGUAACAGGAAGCAGCUUGCUGCUUUGCUGACGAGUGGCGGACGGGUGAGUAAUGUCUGGGAAACUGCCUGAUGGAGGGGGAUAACUACUGGAAACGGUAGCUAAUACCGCAUAACGUCGCAAGACCAAAGAGGGGGGACCCUUCGGGCCUCUUGCCAUCGGAUGUGCCCAGAUGGGAUUAG
rnacentral:rRNA from 1 species